AGCGGCAGGCUUAACACAUGCAAGUCGAGGGGUAUAGUUCUUCGGAAUUAGAGACCGGCGCACGGGUGCGUUAACGCGUAUGCAAUCUACCUUUCACAGAGGGAUAGCCCAGNGAAAUUUGGAUUAAUACCUCAUAGUAUAGCAGUUUCGCAUGAAACCACUAUUAAAGUCACAACGGCAAAAGAUGAGCAUGCGUCCCAUUAGCUAGUUGGUAAGGUAACGGCUUACCAAGGCUACGAUGGGUAGGGGGUCCUGAGAGGGAGAUCCCCCACACUGGUACUGAGACACGGACCAGACUCCUACGGGAGGCAGCAGUGAGGAAUAUUGGACAAUGGGCGCAAGCCUGAUCCAGCCAUGCCGCGUGCAGGAUGACGGUCCUAUGGAUUGUAAACUGCUUUUGUACAGGAAGAAACACUCCCUCGUGAGGGAGCUUGACGGUACUGUAAGAAUAAGGAUCGGCUAACUCCGUG
rnacentral:rRNA from 1 species